ACACGCACGCAUGGAGAGGGGGGAGAGAACCCUCCUUUCUCUCUCUAGAUUUCUCUCUCAUUUCUCUAUAUUUCUCGCUCAAAUUCGCGGGGUUGGUGGACAUGAUGCUUGCGAACGCGUUGGGAGCGACGGAUCGAGCUUUUGCGCGGCCGUUGGAGCGGCGUGUUCUCGUCGUGGCGUUCACAUUGAGGUAAGCUUUUGGGAUUUUGCUUAAUCCUUAAUGCUUAGUGUUCUAAUAGCCUCUAAUGUGUUGAUUAGCAUGUUGAAUCCAUUUAAUUUGGGUUAAUUGGAGCAUGUGUAGAGACUAGGUUUUUAAAAAUGGUAGAACCUUAGAGCUUUAAUUAUAUGCUCUAGGAAUGGGUUUAGAGGACUCUCUAUAUGAUAUCUACAUGCUAAUUGCUUGAAUCAUGAAUCAAUUUUGAAGCUUAUUGCAAUAGUAGCAUGUUAGGGCUCCAAUUUUGGGGUUUUAUAAAAUGUAUGGGUUUGAUCUAAAUUGACCCUAUGUAAACCUAAUUGCUAGGUAAACGAACGCGUUGGCGAAGUCGAUUCGGUGAUUCGUCGAGCCGUUACGAAGUUAUUAAAGAAACGGACGUUUAGGCUUCGUUUUCGCCCGCAGGGCCGAGGCGACAUCGUAUACUUAUGAAAACGGAUUUGAAGCAUCGUGGCACAUAACCGAAGACCUUUAAUUUUCGGAUCGUGAAUUGGAGGCCGUUCGGGUGGUCGCGCGAGAGAUCGGGCCAAACCGGGUGCUGGGUGCCGCGGGAGGCCGAUUGCAAGUGUCGACAAGCAAUCGGAAUGCGAAAUGAG
rnacentral:lncRNA from 1 species